rnacentral:tRNA from 1 species
GCCCUGGAGGAAUAGUGGUUAGGCCACAGCGCUCUCACCACUGCGGCCUGGGUUCAAUCCCUAGCCAGGAAA